CAUCAUCACCUCGAAAAAAUUGCUGCAUUAAACAGAGAAGGGAAGCGUUGCCACCAUUAUGUCUUGAGAGCAUACGCUUACAAACUAACAUACCGUUUACUGCUGAAUAGAUUAUCCUCUUUAUUUAUUUCUGUGUUUUAUUUAUUUUUUCCAAAAAGCAUGGUCAACAGAUGAAUGAAAUCAGUGCAGGAUGGGCAAUAUAAUUUUCUGGCAAUUUAUCGUCACCACUUGUUCUUUAAAAAAUAAAAAUAAAAAUAAAAAUAAA
rnacentral:lncRNA from 1 species